GUUGCCGGUGUGCGCGGUCCCGGCAACGGCGUGGAAGUAAAUGCUUCAAUCGGCGGUGGUAUCCACGUAACAAAGCAGCCACUGCACACAAUCGACUAAGGAGA
rnacentral:sRNA from 22 species